rnacentral:rRNA from 1 species
GAGUUUGAUCGUGGCUCAGAAUCAACGCUGGCGGCGCGCUUAACACAUGCAAGUCGAACGAGAAAGGGAGCAAUCCUGAGUAAAGUGGCGCACUGGUGAGUAACACGUGGAUAUCUACCUCCUGGUGGGGAAUAACCUGGGGAAACCUGGGCUAAUACCGCAUAAGUUCGAGAGAAGAAAGGCGCAAGUCGCCGGGAGAGGAGUCCGCGGUCGAUUAGGUAGUUGGCAGGGUAAAGGCCUACCAAGCCGAAGAUCGAUAGCCGGCCUGAGAGGGCACACGGCCACACUGGCACUGAAACACGGGCCAGACUCCUACGGGAGGCAGCAGUGGGGAAUCUUGCACAAUGGGGGAAACCCUGAUGCAGCGACGCCGCGUGAGCGAUGAAGCCCUUCGGGGUGUAAAGCUCUUUCGGCAGGAACGAUAAUGACGGUACCUGCAGAAGAAGCUGCGGCUAACUACGUGCCAGCCGCCGCAGUAAC